CAGGCUUUAUCAACAUGCCAUGAACAAAAAAUGCGAUGUGGGACUGGGCCCAUUACAGUUUCCCAUGCUGAAUAAAAAGUUUCAACUAUAUCAGUCAUGAAUAUUAGUAUACAUGAAACAACACGGAAACCCUGAACCAAAGUCAUCGAUUACCAUUAAGGUGCCAGAUCGACUACAUUCAUAGUAAGUUCUACGACCAUCAUUGCAUAUUCUUUUUCCGGUUUGGUGUGAAUAUUGACAAUUAUUUUUUAGUUCAAAAUUUAUUAACCAAUUUUGAAAAUCUAUAAUUUAAUGUAUGAUUUUUUUAGUUUAU